UGGGGAAUCGUCUAACGGCAGGACGACUGGCUCUGACCCAGUUAAUCUAGGUUCGAAUCCUAGUUCCCCAACCA
rnacentral:tRNA from 1 species